rnacentral:rRNA from 1 species
UACAGUGGGGGCAAGCGUUAUUCGGAAUUAUUGGGCGUAAAGGGCGCGUAGGCGGCUUGGCAAGUGGAAGGUGAAAUCCCUCGGCUUAACCGAGGAACUGCCCUCCAAACUGCUUCGCUUGAGACCGGGAGAGGUGAGUGGAAUUCCCAGUGUAGCGGUGAAAUGCGUAGAUAUUGGGAGGAACACCAGUGGCGAAGGCGGCUCACUGGACCGGUACUGACGCUGAUGCGCGAAAGCGUGGGGAGCAAACGGGG